GAAAAAAAAAAAUGUUCCUGUUUCGAACCUUAGAUCCUCUGAUCUUUGGUUUCGCUGUUUACUUUGAGUCCAGUUGUGAGGAACUCGAAUGAAAAGGUAUUUUAUUGAUGUUAUUUUAUGUGAUCAACUCACGUGUUUGACCCACUGUGAGUUGAUAUAUUUUUAGGUUUCCAUUCCAAUUGGAAAAUUUUCGAUGGACUUGAUUCACUGGUAUGUGUGAAACCGUGUCAAUCGACUAAUAAAAAUGCAAUUAUGCAUUAUUGAUUGUCGUCAUUCUUAAUUUGUUUCGGUAUGGGCAGUACGGGUCGGUACCCCUGGUUUUUUUUAGUUUGAUUUGUUCAUUAAAUUAAAAAAAAAUUCUGAGGUUAUCUUAGUGGCGUGUGACUAGCCACGGAUUAGAAUGUAGUGUCGUAGUAGUGGAAUAUUCUGUGCCAGAAAGUGGAAUAUUCUGUGCCAGAAUAGUGUGGUGAACAGUCCGCUAUGGCGGUGAGGUUGGAUGGGUUGAAUCCUGUUGCUGGUUCCAGUGCCCUGUGAGCUGCUCCCUGUCCGUGGGAUCUAUUGCGAUUGGAUUUCGAAAACUUGAAUUCGCGUAACACUGGUCAACAGUCGAUCUCGGAUUGUUAUUAUUGUUCCUCUAACACUUUCACUGUUUCUUCUUCUAAUCCUUUUUAUUUGUUCUUUUAGGUUUCGACCAACUUCGAGGAGGAGCCCUUAGAAAUAUUGGACUUGCACGUUUCGUGGCAUUCACUUUCGUUGAUUUGGGUCUGUUUUUCCGAUACGUCAAAGUCACUUAAGCACGCUCUUUUGCGCUGUCACCAAUGAAGCGGAAUACGUACCGAGUGGUUAGACACUAUUACUGCUGGAUGUGAUAUGUCCUUUGAUUAACUGCACUACAUCUGCUCGAUUUUAAUUACCUUUUAAUCUAUCAGUUAAGUUGAAAAAAUAUUAAAUCACUUAAACACUAAACCGAAACUUAAACAACGGGCAUCACUUCUGCCUCGCGGAAUAAAACUUAAGAGUUAACACCUAAACGAACCGCGGACUAUCUAUAACGACGUAGGCACCUGCCUCACGAGGGGUAUCACUAUAACGACGUAGGCACCUGCCUCACGAGGGGUAUCACUAUAACGACG